rnacentral:rRNA from 1 species
CUACGGGGGGCUGCAGUGAGGAAUUUUGCGCAAUGGGGGAAACCCUGACGCAGCAACGCCGCGUGAGUGAAGAAGGCCUUUGGGUCGUAAAGCUCUGUCAACUGGGAAGAAGUUAACCAUGAUUAAUAGUUGUGGUUAUUGACGGUACCAGUGGAGGAAGCGCCGGCUAACUCCGUGCCAGCAGCCGCGGUAACACGGGGGGCGCAAGCGUUAUGCGGAAUUAUUGGGCGUAAAGGGCGCGCAGGCGGUCUUGCCAGUCAGGUGUGAAAGCCCGGGGCUCAACCCUGGAAGUGCACUUGAAACAGCAAGACUUGAGUACGGGAGAGGAGAGAGGAAUUCCUGGUGUAGAGGUGAAAUUCGUAGAUAUCAGGAGGAACACCGAUGGCGAAGGCAUCUCUCUGGACCGAUACUGACGCUGAGGCGCGAAGGCGUGGGUAGCGAACGGGAUUAGAUACCCGCGUAGUC